rnacentral:rRNA from 1 species
CAGCGUUUGACAUGGGACGUAUGGUUAGCAGAGAUGCUUUCCUUCACUUCGGGUGGGUACCACACAGGUGCUGCAUGGCUGUCGUCAGCUCGUGUCGUGAGAUGUUGGGUUAAGUCCCGCAACGAGCGCAACCCUCACCUUCAGUUGCCAUCAUUUAGUUGGGCACUCUGAAGGAACUGCCGGUGACAAGCCGGAGGAAGGUGGGGAUGACGUCAAGUCCUCAUGGCCCUUACGCGCUGGGCUACACACGUGCUACAAUGGUGGUGACAGUGGGUCGCUAGUCCGCGAGGACAAGCUAAUCUCCAAAAGCCAUCUCAGUUCGGAUUGCACUCUGCAACUCGAGUGCAUGAAGUCGGAAUCGCUAGUAAUCGUGGAUCAGCAUGCCACGGUGAAUACGUUCCC